AGUCGAGCGGGCGAGGUUGCUUCGGUAACUGAGCUAGCGGCGGACGGGUGAGUAAAGCUUAGGAAUCUGCCUAUUAGUGGGGGACAACAUUUCGAAAGGGAUGCUAAUACCGCAUACGUCCUACGGGAGAAAGCAGGGGACCUUCGGGCCUUGCGCUAAUAGAUGAGCCUAAGUCGGAUUAGCUAGUUGGUGGGGUAAAGGCCUACCAAGGCGACGAUCUGUAGCGGGUCUGAGAGGAUGAUCCGCCACACUGGGACUGAGACACGGCCCAGACUCCUACGGGAGGCAGCAGUGGGGAAUAUUGGACAAUGGGGGGAACCCUGAUCCAGCCAUGCCGCGUGUGUGAAGAAGGCCUUUUGGUUGUAAAGCACUUUAAGUGGGGAGGAGGCUCUCUUGGUUAAUACCUAAGAAGAGUGGACGUUACCCACAGAAUAAGCACCGGCUAACUCUGUGCCAGCAGCCGCGGUAAUACAGAGGGUGCGAGCGUUAAUCGGAUUUACUGGGCGUAAAGCGCGCGUAGGUGGUUAAUUAAGUCAAAUGUGAAAUCCCCGAGCUUAACUUGGGAAUUGCAUUCGAUACUGGUUAGCUAGAGUAUGGGAGAGGAUGGUAGAAUUCCAGGUGUAGCGGUGAAAUGCGUAGAGAUCUGGAGGAAUACCGAUGGCGAAGGCAGCCAUCUGGCCUAAUACUGACACUGAGGUGCGAAAGCAUGGGGAGCAAACAGGAUUAGAUACCCUGGUAGUCCAUGCCGUAAACGAUGUCUACUAGCCGUUGGGGGAUUUGAUCCUUUAGUGGCGCAGCUAACGCGAUAAGUAGACCGCCUGGGGAGUACGGUCGCAGACUAAAACUCAAAUGAAUUGA
rnacentral:rRNA from 1 species